GGCAAGAUGGCCGAGCGGUCUAUGGCGGUAGAUUCAAGAGGACAUCUCUUGUCUCUUCAAAAGAGAAUCCUACUCCCGAAGGGGGCCGGGGUUCGAAUCCCCGUCUUGUCA
rnacentral:tRNA from 1 species